UUCAUCAAAAUAUCAUCAAAUAUAUCAUAACUUUCAAUUUAAGGUUCAGCAAUGGCAGCUAAUUCUCUCAAAUCUGUUUUGGUGACUCUCUUCAUCUUCGCUAUGGUAUUGUCUCCAGCAAUACCUAGCGAAGCAGCUCGACUUAAUCAUCGAGAUCUCCUUCAAACAACAACACGACCACCCAUUUGUCCUGCUUGUGUCUGUUGUGAACCUGCAGCGACUCCAGGUACCUGUUGCCGGUGCUGUGUUGGUCAAAUUUCAUCGACAUCUGGAUCUCCUUGAAGCUGUAUAUUGUCGUUUGAGCCUUUCAAGCUAAAAGUAUAUGUAGAAACUAAAUUAACGUGAAUAAAGAAGGGUGCUUUCUCUUUUAAAAUUAGUACUGUUGGUGCAUUUAUCCAGGAUUUGUAUCAAGUAAUUAUUUUUUUACUGUCAGAAAUUAUAUAUGUUAUUACUGCUUGGUUAAUAUUGUAUAAAAAAUGAGAAUAAAGAUGAUAUAAUAUUGUCCAAAGGUUUACAUUUUUAUUAAUAAUUAA